GACGAACGCUGGCGGCGUGCCUAAUACAUGCAAGUAGAACGCUGAAGGAGGAGCUUGCUUCUCUGGAUGAGUUGCGAACGGGUGAGUAACGCGUAGGUAACCUGCCUGGUAGCGGGGGAUAACUAUUGGAAACGAUAGCUAAUACCGCAUAAUAGUAGAUGUUGCAUGACAUUUGCUUAAAAGGUGCAAUUGCAUCACUACCAGAUGGACCUGCGUUGUAUUAGCUAGUUGGUGGGGUAACGGCUCACCAAGGCGACGAUACAUAGCCGACCUGCGAGGGGGAUCGGCCACACUGGGACUGAGACACGGCCCAGACUCCUACGGGAGGCAGCAGUAGGGAAUCUUCGGCAAUGGACGGAAGUCUGACCGAGCAACGCCGCGUGAGUGAAGAGGGUUUUCGGAUCGUAAAGCUCUGUUGUAAGAGAAGAACGAGUGUGAGAGUGGAAAGUUCACACUGUGACGGUAUCUUACCAGAAAGGGACGGCUAACUACGUG
rnacentral:rRNA from 1 species